UGGGGAAUAUUGCACAAUGGGGGAAACCCUGACGCAGCGACGCCGCGUGAGGGAAGACGGUUUUCGGAUUGUAAACCUCUGUCUCUGGUGAAGAUAAUGACGGUAACCAGAGAGGAAGCCACGGCUAACUACGUGCCAGCAGCCGCGGUAAUACGUAGGUGGCAAGUGUUGUCCGGAUUUACUGGGUGUAAAGGGAGCGUAGACGGUAUGGUAAGUCUGAAGUGAAAACCCACGGCUCAACUGUGGGACUGCUUUGGAAACUAUCAAACUAGAGUGUCGGAGAGGGUGGCGGAAUUCCAGGUGUAGGAGUGAAAUCCGUAGAUAUCUGGAGGAACACCGGUGGCGAAGGCGGCCACCUGGACGAUAACUGACGCUGAGGUGCGAAAGCGUGGGUAGCAAACA
rnacentral:rRNA from 1 species